rnacentral:rRNA from 1 species
UACGUAGGGUGCGAGCGUUGUCCGGAUUUAUUGGGCGUAAAGAGCGUGUAGGCGGCCAUGUAGGUCCGUUGUGAAAACUCGAGGCUCAACCUCGAGACGCCGAUGGAAACCAUGUGGCUAGAGUCCGGAAGAGGAGAGUGGAAUUCCUGGUGUAGCGGUGAAAUGCGCAGAUAUCAGGAAGAACACCCGUGGCUAAGGCGGCUCUCUAGUACGGUACUGACGCUGAGACGCGAAAGCGUGGGGAGCGAACAGG